rfam:Echinostoma caproni strain Egypt genome assembly, scaffold: ECPE_scaffold0004174
CACUGCUGAAGAGUCUAAAACAGAACGAAAUAGCUAUCCAGGGC